rnacentral:rRNA from 1 species
GACGAACGCUGGCGGCGUGCUUAACACAUGCAAGUCGAACGAAGUGGCGGACGGGUGAGUAACGCGUAAUCAACCUGCCCUUCAGAGGGGGACAACAGUUGGAAACGACUGCUAAUACCGAAUACUGAAGGAGGGGAUUGCGUCUGAUUAGCUAGUUGGCGGGGUAACGGCCCACCAAGGCGAUGAUCAGUAGCCGGGCUGGGAGGAUGAACGGCCACAUUGGGACUGAGACACGGCCCAGAGUCCGACGGGAGGCAGCAGGGGGGAAGUCUCCGCAAUGGAGGAAAGUCUGACGGGGCAACGCCGCGUGAGUGAUGACGGCCUUCGGGGUGUAAAGCUCUGUUAAUCGGGACGCGGUACCGGAAUAGAAAGCCACGGCUAACUACGUGCCAGCAGCCGCGGUAAUAC